CGGCCCCCGCGCGCGCACCCACCGGCCUCGGGGAGCAGGAGCCGGGGGCGCCUAGGAAACCGUCGCCGAGACGCCGCCGCCGCCGCUGCCCUCUGGACGCCGCCGCGCUCGGGGUUUCUUUUUUCUUUUUUUUUUUUUUUUUUUUGCCAAUCCUGAUGGGAAGGAAGGUGACCGCCUACUUCGCAUUCAUCAACUCUCAUCACAACAACAAAAAUCCUGGCGCAAACGGCGGCCAGCGGGCGCGAUCGGCGGAGUGGGGCGGCAGGCAGGGACACCCAGGCCGGCGCCCACCCCCGGGCGCCGAGAGGGGACACGGGGCCGGGGACGCAGACCAAAGAUGUCCUCGGAUGCCGGCUCCGUAUCCUUCGCCCUCCUCCUCCUCCCCGAGUGGCGCAGUGAGGCGCGGGCGCGGCGCCCCCAGCCCGCGGCCUCAGGAGGAGAAGAACGGAGAGAAAAGGAAAGGGAAAGAAGCGGCGCCGACCGCGUCUCCCGGUGCCCGCCGGCUGCGCAGGAGCGAGGCGGGAGGCGAGAUACUCCUCACUACAAAUCGGCUCUCUCGGGGGAUUAGUGGCUCCGGGAAAGUGCACACUGGCGCGGCGGGCGGGCGAGGGGGCCGGGUGCGGCGGGCACUCGC
rnacentral:lncRNA from 1 species